CCACACCUCCCUGCAAGCUGAGGGAGCGGGCUCCGGCAUUGGCCAGCCCAGAAAGGGGCUCCCAGAGUGCAGCGGUGGGCUGAAGGGCUCCUCAAGUGCCGCCAAAGUGGGAGCCCAGAUAGAGGAGGCGCCGAGAGCGAGGAGGGCUGUGAGGACUGCCAGCACGCUGUCACCUCUCAGUACUAUUUUAUGGUCUGUUUACAGUAAUCUUGAAAGAGAUAGAAAAGACCAGAACACGUUAGGAAACAUAUUCCACUAUUCAAAGGAUAAAGCUCUUCUUUCAAAUUGUGUACUGAAGAUAUUUAGUUAGAAAAAGACUCAGUAGUAUGCCUGGAUCUAGCAGAGGACACUGAGGAGUCCCUGGAAGAUUGCGGCAACACAAGACGGAGAAGCCAGGAUCCCAAAGCACCAAGUGAAAGACUGGUCGGCAAAAAUCCAUUUGAACUGUGAUGUGAGUGAAAAACAUAUGCCUGUUGAAUUAAGUAAUGAUCAAUGCUAUGCUCUGUUUGUACUCAUAGCAGCUUCUGUUAUGCCUUUUAUUAAUACGUCUGGCUUGUUUCCUUUUGAUCUCAGGGCUAAAAUAUCCCAUUUGAAAAACCACCCAUUUUUUUUCCAGUCUUCUGCUUUGUCAAGUUAUAUCAUAGCAAGUUUUUACAAUAAAUAAAACUCUAUAGUAAAAAAUAAUUU
rnacentral:lncRNA from 1 species